GCACUAAUGGUGUAGCGGUAACAUACUUCCCUUCCAUCCUCAGUUCUGAGCAAGGAAGUGCUCUGGGUUCGACUCCCAGUUAGUGCA
rnacentral:tRNA from 1 species